rnacentral:tRNA from 1 species
UGGGUUAUAGCUCAGUGGUAGAGUGCAUGCCUAGCAUGCAUGAGGUCCUGGAUUUAAUUCCCAAUACCUCUG